rnacentral:rRNA from 1 species
CCUACGGGAGGCAGCAGUGGGGAAUAUUGGGCAAUGGGCGCAAGCCUGACCCAGCAAAGCCGCGUGAAGGAAGAAGGCCCUCGGGUUGUAAACUUCUUUUUUUAGGGACGAAAAAAGUGACGGUACCCCAGGAAUAAGCCACGGCUAACUACGGGCCAGCAGCCGCGGUAAUCCGGAGGCGGCAAGCGUUAUGCGGAUGUAAGGGUUGUAAAGGGCGCGUAGGCGGGAAGGUAAGUUAGAUGUGAAAUCUUGGGGCUCAACCCUGAUACUGCAAUGGAAACUGGUUUUCCUGAGUGCAGUAGAGGUAAGCGGAAUUCGUGGUGUAGCGGUGAAAUGCGUAGAUAUAAGGAGGAACACCAGUUGCGAAGGCGGCUUACUGAACUGUAACUGACGCUGAGGCUCGAAAGUGUGGGGAGCAAACAGGAUUAGAUACCCGUGUAGUC